UUUAAAGCCAUAUUGACUCAAAGUAGA
rnacentral:piRNA from 1 species